GUCUCGCCCGGAAAUGCGGCUACGACUCGCAGCCUAACCCAGAGGCUAACCCGGGCGUGAUUGCACCUCUGCUGCUCUGCUAUCUCGGGUGCUCAAAGAGACAAGGAUCCUAACCCGGCAUGGGGCUAAUAAGAGCGUGUUAUCUGUAUGCAAACCCCUGGGAAAUAGUCGUAAUUGUCUUCGUUUAUCCACAGACCACUGUCUCACAAUCCUGUAGUUUCUCCAUUUGACCAGUUUCCUGAGGCUUGGAGAAGAGAUCCUCUCCAGAGAUUAUCCAGAUGGUAAGAGUCAAAGUUGGAAUUCACACUUUUCCCAAGCACGUGGAACAGAUUGUUAGAAGGGAACUAAAGGUGUCCUUCUAUUAGACUCCCAGGAACCAACGCUUUAAAAAUCUCUACUGCUGAGCAUCAUCUGCUCCAGGCAUUCUCUGGUAUGCCUGACCUCGAGGUUUCUGUAGGUCUGACCCCAGUGAAAAUGUCUGUUUAAUCGUGUGUCUGGUAUACUUAGACUUGUGUUCACUGCAGAGUCUCAGGAACCAGGCAGGCUUGAAAAGUGCUGCACUGGGAAUAUUCAUUAAAUGAACUCCAAUGUUGGAGAUCAGAAAGUGGACAGCAGGUACCGUGGGAGAGCCUGCGAGCUAAUCCAUGCCUGCCUGCUGCAGUACAGCUCAGCACAUAAGGUGUCCAACAUCAGUAACAUGAGGAAAUUCCGUCCCUUGCAUAUGCCUGGGUCUCUUAAUGGUUUCAGGACAACCACUCAUCUCUGAAUCUCUAGAGUCUAGGGCCAGGACGCUUGGGCUAGCAUGCUUUAGAGUGGAGGCCAAGCUGGCACAGGGUGUGGUGCCACUCUGCUGGGUCUGGAAUGUAGUGGAACAAGUGGGCCAGCCUACUGACACCCCCAGGCUUUUAUUUGCAGGGGUGUCAGUGGGCAGAGUCCCACUUUGUAGCCCUGGCAUUAUAACUCACAGAAAUCCACUUGCCUCUGCCUUCCAAAUACCGAGGUUAAAGCCUAGGCCCAGCUCACCACAGGCUUUCUUGAUCUCUCCUAAGAUGCUAUGUGCACUUGCUUGCAGUAAACUCUGAGCUGCAUUCAUGGUAUGCAAGCCUCCUACCACCAAGUUCCAUCCCCAGCCGCUAAUGCCAUCUUUAUAGCCUCCCGAAUCGACCCUCCAACCCUUGUUCCAUGAACUAUGUUACUGACAAGAAAAUAUUUAUUUUUUAAGAGAAAGACAGGACAGGGCCUCAGGCUGAGGAGGCUGGGUUUCUUCUUCCUGCUUGUCCAGGUAGUGUCUCAGGGCUGUGGGGUAAUCGGUCAUGACGCCAUUGGCUCCCAAGCUGAAGGCCACUUCAAAAUCCGAUUCUUCAUUAAGGCACCAAAAUAGCACCUGAACAGAGGAAGAAAACAGGUUAGUUUCCAAACACCAACCCCAAGCUUCCUUUCUCGUCCAGGAGGUGGCAGCCCCUCCUUCUGCGCAGACCUCCCAGAACCAGUGUCCUGGAGCUGAUGGUUAUCUUUUUUAGAAAUUUCCAAAUUGGUUAUUAAACACAGCUCCUGUCAAAACUUAAGUAUAGGAUCUUGGAGCCAAGUGUGGCCAUGCAUGUUUGUAACUCUGCACUUGGGAGGCCAUCUGGGCUACACAGAGUAGCAGCCAGCUGGGGUUAUCUAGUAAGCCUCUGCCUCAAAAACAAAUACAUAAACCAUGUAAUUACAUGAACUUGCAGUUGAACAGUCUCAGAACUCAGGAUGCAGAGGUAGGUGGAUCUCUGCAAGUUUUAGGCCAGGUCUAUAUAGUAAGUUUUAGGCCAGCCAGAGUUGACAGUGAAACGUUGUCUCAAAACAAACAAGGAAUUCAAUAAAAACAAAAGUAAAGCU
ensembl:processed_transcript Gm9967 predicted gene 9967